rnacentral:lncRNA from 1 species
GGCUCCUCUGUCAGCCCCUCCAGAUGGUGUGCUCUGCUGGCUCCACUGCAGUCCUCAGCUCCUUCUGCUGGACCGGGGCUUCCCUUAGGAAAAAGCUACUUGGUGAGAGAAACUUGAAGACUUCAGUCCUUUUUGUAUCUAUGACUCCGGAAAGGAAAGAAAAAUAAACCAUGUAGAACCUGCUUGCUGUCCUGUCCUCUGCCAGCCGUUGGCCUCAGUAAUCGGAUUCAAGGAUAUGUAUGACCUACUUUUUGAAUCACUGCAGCCCAGGCUGCGCAAUUUCUUAUGUUCUCUUGCUGAGAAACCAACAUACAAGCAGAGAUUGUGUAUUUUUCUGUAAAGGUAGAGGUAGGCGCUUCUGGAAAUUCUGGAAACCUUUCCAAGUUUACAGCACAAACGACCGGAAUGUUAAGAAGGGCUUUUGUUAACAGCUACCCAACACUGUCCUGGAGGCUUUUUAAAGAGCUUAUCUCAUUGAAGCCAAGGCUGGGGCUAGCGAGAGGCCAAUGAGAGCACGGCCUCUUUCUAAGGCUUUCUGGUGCAAUGCAACCCUCCUCGAUGGCCACAGCUGAUUGACUGGAGUGAACCUGUGACCUGAACUGGGCCAGUCAGAUUUUUCAUACUGGAAAUUUGGCGUCGGAGCCCUGAGAAACAAGUCAGGUGGUCUCGGGGGCUGAAGCUACCCCUGUGGGGUGACUAGUGGAACUCCUGGUAGUGAGAAAAAGUGAGAUGAGACUGAUGAUCUUCAGAAGGAAAAGUUUGGACUAAACACCCAGAGGAAAGCUGAAAUGAGAGACCACAUGGAAUGAAGGAGAACAAAGCCAAUCACUGAGACAAGUAUUGCCAGGGAAGAAGGCUUUUUUGGGUGCUACAGCUGAGGAGCUGGGAGGUCAAAACAGUGUGGGAAAAGAAAUUUAA